rnacentral:rRNA from 1 species
CAGCACAGAGAAGCUUGCUUCUUGGGUGGCGAGUGGCGAACGGGUGAGUAACAUAUCGGAACGUACCGAGUAGUGGGGGAUAACUGAUCGAAAGAUCAGCUAAUACCGCAUACGUCUUGAGAGGGAAAGCAGGGGACCUUCGGACCUUGCGCUAUUCGAGCGGCCGAUAUCUGAUUAGCUAGUUGGUGGGGUAAAGGCCUACCAAGGCGACGAUCAGUAGCGGGUCUGAGAGGAUGAUCCGCCACACUGGGACUGAGACACGGCCCAGACUCCUACGGGAGGCAGCAGUGGGGAAUUUUGGACAAUGGGCGCAAGCCUGAUCCAGCCAUGCCGCGUGUCUGAAGAAGGCCUUCGGGUUGUAAAGGACUUUUGUCAGGGAAGAAAAGGCUGUUGCUAAUAUCAGCGGCUGAUGACGGUACCUGAAGAAUAAGCACCGGCUAACUACGUGCCAGCAGCCGCGGUAAUACGUAGGGUGCGAGCGUUAAUCGGAAUUACUGGGCGUAAAGCGGGCGCAGACGGUUACUUAAGCAGGAUGUGAAAUCCCCGGGCUCAACCCGGGAACUGCGUUCUGAACUGGGUGACUCGAGUGUGUCAGAGGGAGGUAGAAUUCCACGUGUAGCAGUGAAAUGCGUAGAGAUGUGGAGGAAUACCGAUGGCGAAGGCAGCCUCCUGGGAUAACACUGACGUUCAUGCCCGAAAGCGUGGGUAGCAAACAGGAUUAGAUACCCUGGUAGUCCACGCCCUAAACGAUGUCAAUUAGCUGUUGGGCAACUUGAUUGCUUGGUAGCGUAGCUAACGCGUGAAAUUGACCGCCUGGGGAGUACGGUCGCAAGAUUAAAACUCAAAGGAAUUGACGGGGACCCGCACAAGCGGUGGAUGAUGUGGAUUAAUUCGAUGCAACGCGAAGAACCUUACCUGGUCUUGACAUGUACGGAAUCCUCCAGAGACGGAGGAGUGCCUUCGGGAGCCGUAACACAGGUGCUGCAUGGCUGUCGUCAGCUCGUGUCGUGAGAUGUUGGGUUAAGUCCCGCAACGAGCGCAACCCUUGUCAUUAGUUGCCAUCAUUCGGUUGGGCACUCUAAUGAGACUGCCGGUGACAAGCCGGAGGAAGGUGGGGAUGACGUCAAGUCCUCAUGGCCCUUAUGACCAGGGCUUCACACGUCAUACAAUGGUCGGUACAGAGGGUAGCCAAGCCGCGAGGUGGAGCCAAUCUCACAAAACCGAUCGUAGUCCGGAUUGCACUCUGCAACUCGAGUGCAUGAAGUCGGAAUCGCUAGUAAUCGCAGGUCAGCAUACUGCGGUGAAUACGUUCCCGGGUCUUGUACACACCGCCCGUCACACCAUGGGAGUGGGGG